UUCCCUUUUGAGGGGGUAUUUAGUGUUUGGAAAUGGAUUAUCUUCGGAUGUGUGAUGUUUCUUAUUAAUAGUUGUUGAUUCUAUUGUAACCUGCAUUUUAAAGUUCCAGGAACACUAAGUUGGAACAUGUGAAUGAAGGAUAGUUCCUGCUUUGGAAAAAAGCUAAGUGCUAGAACCUUGUCUAUGUUCACUUGCUCUGAGAGCACAGGCAAACCUGGUACUUUGCUCAAAGGUACCUACUUCUGCAUUCAGGAAUAAGCAUCGAUUUAUGCCCUCUCUUGACAUGUGGUUUCUCUUUUUCUACAUUAAAACUUGGCUUCAUAAAACACCCUGAAGAGUACUUGUCCUCUGCAUUCCUUCUUCAGUCCAUUCCCAGUUGCUUUAGUAACAGAAAACCUGUCAGAGGAGUCCUCACCAACACAACCAUAUCCCCUUUAUUCUAUUUUUUCAGAAACUGUGAAGAUGACAAGGAAAGUUUAUAAAGCAGUCUAGGCAUCCUGAUAAGUUAAAGGAAGAGCAACUGGUAUCUCUAUGACAGAUAUUUAUGAACACAGGGUGAUGGAUUGGAUCAUAAGGAGUUUCUUUCUUUUUCCUUCUCCAGGAAGCUUUAGGGGAAUUUACAUUUACAGUUUGAUCAAAAGGAACUUCGCUGUCAUCUUUUCAAAAAUGGACAAAAUACUAUAGAUGUUCUAGUUCUUAUUUAUUUUACCAAUCUCUAUGUAUAUGCUAUCAACUAUUCAUUAUACACACAGCUUAGAUUUACUUGUUAACUAAAAUUGUUCCAAAUACAGGGAAAAACAUAUCCCAGGUGGGCUAUUGUUUCUGUUUGAGACAUGCUAUUGUCUUUUCCAGCUGAUGUCCCUGUCAAAAGCUCGGUGUUACUCACUUCAUACAAAGUUGACUACUUAGAUGUAUAUAGAUAGUCCUCUUUCUUUAAUGAGUAGAUUUUUUUUUUCUUUUUUAAAACAUAUUUGGUAGAGGAGGAGAGAAUUUUAUGUGGAAAGGAUUUAAUCCCUUUGGUCUUGUUUACCCUGUAUUAGUUAGAAGAUGCUGAAUGAGUUUACAAAGCUGAUCUGGCUUUCAGUAUUACAUUGCUCAGAUGGCAACUGUGUCACUACUUAAAGGAUUGAGAUGUUGGUCUUUGAAGCCUUUCUCCUAGACAUUAAAGGGAACUAUCUUAUUUUCUGGAUCCAGUGGACAACCAGUCUGUUUUACUUAUACAUUUAACUUUUUUAAAAUAAUGUGGUUUAUUACCUCAACACUUAAAAAGUAAAGUAAAACUCACAAGGACAUUUAAUUAAACUUCAG
rnacentral:lncRNA from 1 species